rnacentral:rRNA from 1 species
AGAAUCAACGCUGGCGGCGUGCCUAACACAUGCAAGUCGAACGAGAAAGUGGGAGCAAUCCCACGAGUAAAGUGGCGCACGGGUGAGUAACACGUGACUAACCUACCCUUGAGUGGGGGAUAACCUAGGGAAACCUGGGCUAAUACCGCAUAAUACCUACGGGUCAAAGGAGCAAUUCGCUUUAGGAGGGGGUCGCGGCAGAUUAGUUAGUUGGCGGGGUAAUGGCCCACCAAGACAGUGAUCUGUAUCCGGCCUGAGAGGGCGCACGGACACACUGGAACUGAAACACGGUCCAGACUCCUACGGGAGGCAGCAGUGGGGAAUUUUGCGCAAUGGGGGAAACCCUGACGCAGCAACGCCGCGUGGAGGAUGAAGCCCCUUGGGGCGUAAACUCCUUUCGAUCGGGAAGAUAAUGACGGUACCGGAAGAAGAAGCCCCGGCUAACUUCGUGCCAGCAGCCGC